UUGAACGCUGGCGGCAGGCCUAACACAUGCAAGUCGAGCGGUAGCACAGAGAGCUUGCUCUCGGGUGACGAGCGGCGGACGGGUGAGUAAUGUCUGGGAAACUGCCUGAUGGAGGGGGAUAACUACUGGAAACGGUAGCUAAUACCGCAUAAUGUCGCAAGACCAAAGUGGGGGACCUUCGGGCCUCAUGCCAUCAGAUGUGCCCAGAUGGGAUUAGCUAGUAGGUGGGGUAACGGCUCACCUAGGCGACGAUCCCUAGCUGGUCUGAGAGGAUGACCAGCCACACUGGAACUGAGACACGGUCCAGACUCCUACGGGAGGCAGCAGUGGGGAAUAUUGCACAAUGGGCGCAAGCCUGAUGCAGCCAUGCCGCGUGUGUGAAGAAGGCCUUCGGGUUGUAAAGCACUUUCAGCGGGGAGGAAGGCGUUAAGGUUAAUAACCUUGGCGAUUGACGUUACCCGCAGAAGAAGCACCGGCUAACUCCGUGCCAGCAGCCGCGGUAAUACGGAGGGUGCAAGCGUUAAUCGGAAUUACUGGGCGUAAAGCGCACGCAGGCGGUCUGUCAAGUCGGAUGUGAAAUCCCCGGGCUCAACCUGGGAACUGCAUUCGAAACUGGCAGGCUAGAGUCUUGUAGAGGGGGGUAGAAUUCCAGGUGUAGCGGUGAAAUGCGUAGAGAUCUGGAGGAAUACCGGUGGCGAAGGCGGCCCCCUGGACAAAGACUGACGCUCAGGUGCGAAAGCGUGGGGAGCAAACAGGAUUAGAUACCCUGGUAGUCCACGCCGUAAACGAUGUCGAUUUGGAGGUUGUGCCCUUGAGGCGUGGCUUCCGGAGCUAACGCGUUAAAUCGACCGCCUGGGGAGUACGGCCGCAAGGUUAAAACUCAAAUGAAUUGACGGGGGCCCGCACAAGCGGUGGAGCAUGUGGUUUAAUUCGAUGCAACGCGAAGAACCUUACCUGGUCUUGACAUCCACAGAACUUUCCAGAGAUGGAUUGGUGCCUUCGGGAACGGUGAGACAGGUGCUGCAUGGCUGUCGUCAGCUCGUGUUGUGAAAUGUUGGGUUAAGUCCCGCAACGAGCGCAACCCUUAUCCUUUGUUGCCAGCGGUUCGGCCGGGAACUCAAAGGAGACUGCCAGUGAUAAACUGGAGGAAGGUGGGGAUGACGUCAAGUCAUCAUGGCCCUUACGACCAGGGCUACACACGUGCUACAAUGGCAUAUACAAAGAGAAGCGACCUCGCGAGAGCAAGCGGACCUCAUAAAGUAUGUCGUAGUCCGGAUUGGAGUCUGCAACUCGACUCCAUGAAGUCGGAAUCGCUAGUAAUCGUAGAUCAGAAUGCUACGGUGAAUACGUUCCCGGGCCUUGUACACACCGCCCGUCACACCAUGGGAGUGGGUUGCAAAAGAAGUAGGUAGCUUAACCUUCGGGAGGGCGCUUACCACUUUGUGAUUCAUGACUGGGGUG
rnacentral:rRNA from 1 species